rnacentral:rRNA from 1 species
AUUGAACGCUGGCGGCAUGCUUUACACAUGCAAGUCGAACGGUAACAGGGAGCUUGCUCCGCUGACGAGUGGCGAACGGGUGAGUAAUGCAUCGGAACGUACCCAGUCGUGGGGGAUAACGUAGCGAAAGUUACGCUAAUACCGCAUACGUCCUGAGGGAGAAAGCGGGGGACCGUAAGGCCUCGCGCGAUUGGAGCGGCCGAUGUCGGAUUAGCUAGUUGGUAGGGUAAAGGCCUACCAAGGCGACGAUCCGUAGCGGGUCUGAGAGGAUGAUCCGCCACACUGGGACUGAGACACGGCCCAGACUCCUACGGGAGGCAGCAGUGGGGAAUUUUGGACAAUGGGCGAAAGCCUGAUCCAGCCAUGCCGCGUGAGUGAAGAAGGCCUUCGGGUUGUAAACUUCUUUACUACGCGAAUAGAGGUCAGUACGAGAUACUAAUAGGAAGGUAGUGUAGUAAAAAGCACCGGCUAACUCCGUG